rnacentral:rRNA from 1 species
UACGUAGGGUGCGAGCGUUAAUCGGAAUUACUGGGCGUAAAGCGCGUGUAGGCGGGUCGGAAAGUCGGGCGUGAAAUCCCUAGGCUCAACCUAGGAACUGCACUCGAAACUCCCGGUCUUGAGUGGUGGAGAGGGAAGUGGAAUUCCUGGUGUAGAGGUGAAAUUCGUAGAUAUCGGGAGGAACACCAGUGGCGAAGGCGACUACCUGGCCCAUUCUUGACGCUGAGGCGCGAAAGCUAGGGGAGCGAACGGG